AAAGAGCGCGUCGUUCUAUACCUAGUGGAGACGGACAACUUUUCCAGCGCCGGGUUUCGGGGGGUUCCCAAGCUCUCCUCGCCUUUGGCCUGGGCAUCUUCACACUUUUAUUACGCUACACACAAGCUCAGCCCCCCCAAAAAUGAAUUAUCCACCCCGCCCCUGGGUGAAGAAAAGGGAACAAAGAAACGCAAACUCAAAACAGAAACGAAGAAGAUGGUUUAGAUAACAGCGAGGUUCAAAGAUCUUUAAACGCCUUACCUAGUUGAUUUACAUUUUUACUGUAAUAUGAAUUUCCCUAACGGAAAAAAAAAACAGUUAGUCAGCCUGAGACGAAACAAAUCUCAUAUGAUUAUGAGUCACUCCCUGUUUAAUUCCCCCCCUCCGAUUACACCCUCCGAUUAAACUGCUGCCUGGCGUCGCUAGUCCGCUCCGGCUCCGCAGGAGACAGGCUGUCAAACCCGAGACGGGGAAGCCGGGUCCGGGCCGCCCCACGGACACUGGGGUCUGACACAGCAUGAUCUAAUGUCCCUUUGCGAUGAGGAGCCUGCUGUCGUGUCUGGCUGUGAUGUCUGCCCUGUGCCUUACCAAGAGCGCCUCGGCCUCCCACUGGCUGGUCUACACCUCCACAGCAGUGUCGGAGGCGGGGCUCCUCUCCCAGCUCCUGAUCUCCAGGGUUCUGGACCAGCAGACGGUCUCUCACUGGGACAGCGCCUCCUGGAGAGAGACUCACACCAGCCACUGGCCCAGCAGAGCUGCCGGCCUCAGAGAUGUCAACUACGAGCAUGAGGAGAUGGAGAACAGGGAGAGGCUGCAGGGAAUCCUGAGGACGAGGAGCAACAUGGGGAAAGGUCAGUCAGCCCUUCGCUCUGUCCUCUGUCCUCUGUUUCUGUGUGUCAGUGUCAUCAGUCUCUGUGUGUGUGUGUCACUGUCCUCUGUCUCUGUGUCUGUCAGUGUCCUCGGUCUCUCUCUCUUCAGAUGUGCUGUGAUCUGGGGGAUGAUGGGAGUUUGUCUGUACUGUUAGUCUCCUCAGUCUCUCUCUUCAGAUGUGCUCCAGAGCUGGUGAGGCUGUAGACUGGGGGAUGAUGGGAGUGUGGCUCUGUUUGAUCACUACGGCUUCAAUGGACAAGACUUCCUGUCCUUUGAGGUGGACACUAUGACCUGGAGAGCAAGUUCCCUACAGGCAGAGGACACUCAGAGGGACUGGAACCAGAACAGGGUUAAAAACCAGUAUAUCAGAGCCUUCCUAGAGAUUGACUGUAUGGAAACACUGAAGAGAUUCCUGGAGUUCAGAAAAAUAGACAAAAACCACACAGGUGAGACAGAGAAAACUCCCAGUGCAGUAUUAAUGUACUGGAGUGUCCAGUCAGUGUGUCUGUAUUAACCCCUCUCUUUCUCAGUGCAGUGUUAAUGUACGGGAGUGUCCAGUCAGUGCGUCUGUAUUAACCCCUCUCUCUCAUUGCAGUUUUAAUGUACUGGAGUGUCCGUCCAGUCAGUGUCUCUGUAUGAACCCCUCUCUCUCUCAGUGCAGUGUUAAUGUACUGGAGUGUCCAGUCAGUGUGUCUGUAU
ensembl:lincRNA